AUGAUUUUCGCUUCUUCUCGCAUGUUUCGUCGAGGCUGGGAACUGGUGCUACUUCAAUAUCCAAAGAGGAUUUGUCGCAAGGCUAGGGUUGUCUCUUCGGAGACAUCCGAUAAAAUUGGAACGAUACAGAGAAGAUUAGCAUGGCCCCUGCGCAAGGAUGACACGCAUAAAUCGAGAAAUGGUCCAAAUUUUUUUCUUCAAAUAGAUUUGUCGCAAGGCUAGGGUUGUCUCUUCGGAGACAUCCGAUAAAAUUGGAACGAUACAGAGAAGAUUAGCAUGGCCCCUGCGCAAGGAUGACACGCAUAAAUCGAGAAAUGGUCCAAAUUUUUUUCUUCAAAUAGCAAUCUUAUUGGAUGAUUUGCAUGGCCAUGGGAAUGAGACAACUUUGAAGUGCACAGCCUGUGACCUGGAUAAGUAGAACACUAUUGAGGUAUGUUGAACAGAUUGUUUACUUGCAAAGAGUGUUUAUUAUAUUCACUUUAUUUGCUUCCAACAUUUUUCUUAUGGAUGAUUGUUGAAGCUGGUGAUCGUUUGUCGUUCAUUUGAAAUAGGAACUACAAACACAAGAUAUUAGAAGAUGAAUUUUCAUUAGGAGAUUGAAUAUUUGGUUUCAGGACUAUGGGGCAUGACUAUUAUGUUUACUU